rnacentral:rRNA from 1 species
CAUAGAUAAUCCGCCUCCGACCCGGGAAUAACGGCUGGAAACGGCCGCUAAUACCGAAUGAGGUGGCGUAGGGCAUCCUACGCUGAUCAAUGCGGGGGAUCUGUAAAAGGACCUUGUGGUUAGAGAAGAGUCUAUGGGAUAUCAGCUAGUUGGAGAGGUAAAGGCUCACCAAGGCUAAGACGUCUAGGCGGAUCGAGAGAUUGACCGCCAACACUGGGACUGAGACACUGCCCAGACUCCUACGGGAGGCUGCAGUCGAGAAUCUUUCGCAAUGGGCGCAAGCCUGACGAAGCGACGCCGUGUGAGCGAAGAAGGCCUUCGGGUUGUAAAGCUCUUUCGCUAGGGAACAAGAGAGAUGGGACAAUACCCCAUUGAUUUGAUGGUACUUGGUAAAGAAGCACCGGCUAACUCCGUGCCAGCAGCUGCGGUAAUACGGAGGGUGCAAGCAUUGAUCGGAAUUACUGGGCGUAAAGGGCGCGUAGGCGGCUAAGAAAGUCAGAUGUGAAAUUCCGGGGCUCAACCCCGGAGCUGCAUUUGAAACUUCUGAGCUAGAGUUCAGUUAGGGUAAACGGAAUUCCACGUGUAGCGGUGAAAUGCGUAGAUAUGUGGAAGAACACCGGUGGUGAAGACGGUUUACUGGGCUGAGACUGACGCUGAGGCGCGAAAGCAUGGGGAGCAAACAGGAUUAGAUACCCUGGUAGUCCAUGCCUUAAACGAUGCAUACUAGGUGUAGGAGGGCUCAACCCCCUCUGUACCGGAGCUAACGCAUUAAGUAUGCCGCCUGGGGAGUACGCUCGCAAGGGUGAAACUCAAAAGAAUUGACGGGGGCCCGCACAAGCAGUGGAGCAUGUGGUUUAAUUCGAUGCAACGCGAAGAACCUUACCUGGGCUCGAAAUGUAGAGGACGACAUCAGAGAUGAUGUCUCUCGAAAGGGCUUUUACAUAGGUGCUGCAUGGCUGUCGUCGGCUCGUGCCGUGAGGUGUUUGGUUAAGUCCAGCAACGAGCGCAACCCUUAUCGUUAGUUGCCAACAUGUAAAGGUGGGAACUCUAACGAGACUGCCUGGGUUAACCAGGAGGAAGGUGAGGAUGACGUCAAGUCCGCAUGGCCUUUAUGUCCAGGGCUACACACGUGCUACAAUGGUCGGUACAGAAGGCAGCAAAACCGCAAGGCGAAGCAAAUCC